GCGGGGAUAGCUCAGUUGGGAGAGCGUCAGACUGAAGUUAAACUUCAUCAUCUGUCUAUCUGAAGGUCGUGUGUUCGAUCCACACUCACCGCA
rnacentral:tRNA from 1 species